rnacentral:tRNA from 1 species
CCGUAUCGUAGCAUAGUGGAGCGCGUAUGUGUGUUGGUGCAUCAGGUCGUGGGUUCGAAUCCCACGUGCGCU